rnacentral:lncRNA from 1 species
UGCCUUAUCCCUGUGUGUGGGAGAAAUUGGUUAUAAAUAUGGAGCUCCCUCGAUCAAUAAGGAGCACAGUCAAAACUGCCAGUCAGACAGAUAGACACACAACUCACACACAACAUAACGGAGAUACAGGUAGACUCACAGGUGUGCUCACAGGGAGACUUCCAGGUAAACUUACAGAUGGAAAAACAGAGAGAUAGACAGAUGGAAGCCCAUGUGUUCAUUCCAGGGCCCCCCUCACCUACAGCCAUCCGCCCCUGGUCCAGGUGUGGAGCAGUGAUGGGGCUCGUGAUCAUGCUUCUAUUCGUGGGGUUAUCAUGUUUCUGCAUUGGGUUCUACACCCAGAGAGUCACACAGGGAACUGGACAAUCAGAUCGCACAGGGAAAUUCAACCAGACCUUCCCACUUAAAGAGGGCAGAAAGUCAGAAGAAAUACCAGACGAAGUACAGUACGACAUCUUCACCGCACCGAAGGACGCCAUCUAUUUUAUCCACGGCCAGGUGAGCAGAGCAGACGGCAAGGGGAAAGUCUACCUGUUUUGGAAACUCACUAGCAGCCGUAACAUCAACACCAACGACGGAAUCUGCCCUGAGAUCACCUUCGCUACUGAGGUCAAGUUGUUCAAAGGUUGUCAAGUUUACCUCGUCUUCAACGAGGGCAAACCCAACCUGAAAGAGAGCACUUUCACAGUCUACGAGCUUGUCUAGAAAUGUUAAGCCACACUGUAAGAUAGCAUUAAAGAUUUCAUUCCAUGAGUUAUCUGUAGUGCUCAAGGAAUGACAUUCCAUGAGAGCGACACCUGUGAACAAAUGUUUAACUCAUUUAUACUGAGGCUGUAUAGACCAGUACAGUACAGUACAGUUUACAUCUGGAUCAAAGUAUUGACCUUUGUUAUAACACAUAAGCUGGGUCAGUUGGUUAGUGUGCUGUCUAUACCAGUGUUUCCCAACUCCAGUCCUCGAGUACCCCCAACAGCAUACAUUUUGUUGUAGCCCUGGACAAGCACCCCUGAAUCAACUUGUCUACUUAUCAAGCCCUCAAUGAGUUGAAUGAGUUGAGUUUGACCGGGGCAACAACAAAAAUAUGUACUGUUGUGGGUACUCCAAGAGUUGGGAAACACCGGUAUAGACAGCAUACUAACCACCCGACACAGUUUAUGUGUUAUAACAAGGGUCAUAACCUUUAUGUUCAGGGUCCAGUCUACAUAUUCCCUCUGUGUGGUGACAUUCCCUCAGCCUAAGAGACAUGCACUAAAUGAGGGGGUCAUUUUGGAGCUGGCUGGUGGACUACCCAAAGCCGUUAUGGGUUACUGCAGUCAACCAUGAAGUUACAAAGAUAUUGAAUGUAAUAAAAUAUUUUAUGAAUAAGAUGGUUAUUUUUGGACCUAAUAUUUCCAUUGCCUUCAAGAUCAAAUAAAGUAUUUAAUAUGAAAACUCUGCACAGCCUCACAUCAAAUACCCUGUCAUCAGUACUGUGUUUUCACUUUUUCCAUGGCCCUGGUCUUUCUGUCAGCCAAAGGCAGGGUGUUUGUUCUGUGAUACUUUGUCCUGAG